rnacentral:snoRNA from 1 species
AAGACUAUACUUUCAGGGAUCAUUUCUAUAGUUCAUUACUAGAGAAGUUUCUCUGAACGUGUAGAGUACCCUAAACACACCAACAUACACAUAAUGGGAGU